UACAGAGGUCUCAAGCGUUUGUUCGGGAUUCAUUGGGCGUAAAGGGUGCGUAGGUGGCGCGCUAAGUCGGGGUGUGAAAAUUUUCGGAGCUUAACUCCGAAAACUGCAUUCGAUACUGGCGUGCUUGAGGACUUGGAGAGGAGACUGGAAUUCAUGGUGUAGCAGUGAAAUGCGUAGAGAUCAUGAGGAAGACCAGUGGCGAAGGCGGGUCUCUGGACAGUUCCUGACACUGAGACACGAAGCCAGGGGAGCAAACGGG
rnacentral:rRNA from 1 species